rnacentral:rRNA from 1 species
GACGAACGCUGGCGGCGUGCCUAAUACAUGCAAGUCGAGCGGAACUGGGGGAGCUUGCCCCUUCCAGUUUAGCGGCGGACGGGUGAGUAACACGUGGGCAACCUGCCCUGCAGAUCGGGAUAACUCCGGGAAACCGGUGCUAAUACCGAAUAGUUUGGCGCCUCUCCUGAGGCGCCACGGAAAGACGGUUUCGGCUGUCACUGCAGGAUGGGCCCGCGGGGCAUUAGCUAGUUGGUGGGGUAACGGCCCACCAAGGCGACGAUGCGUAGCCGACCUGAGAGGGUGACCGGCCACACUGGGACUGAGACACGGCCCAGACUCCUACGGGAGGCAGCAGUAGGUAAUCUUCCGCAAUGGACGCAAGUCUGACGGAGCAACGCCGCGUGAGUGACGAAGGUUUUCGGAUCGUAAAACUCUGUUGUGAGGGAAGAACACGUACCAACUAACUAUUGGUACCUUGACGGUACCUCACCAGAAAGCCACGGCUAACUACGUGCCAGCAGCCGCAGUAA